UACGUAGGGUGCGAGCGUUGUCCGGAAUUAUUGGGCGUAAAGAGCUCGUAGGCGGUCUGUCGCGUCGGUCGUGAAAACUUGGGGCUUAACCCUGAGCUUGCGGUCGAUACGGGCAUGACUGGAGUUCGGUAGGGGAGACUGGAAUUCCUGGUGUAGCGGUGAAAUGCGCAGAUAUCAGGAGGAACACCGGUGGCGAAGGCGGGUCUCGUGGGCAGUAACUGACGCUGAGGAGCGAAAGCGUGGGGAGCGAACAGG
rnacentral:rRNA from 1 species